UGGGGAAUCUUGCGCAAUGGGCGGAAGCCUGACGCAGCAACGCCGCGUGCGGGAGGAAGGCCUUCGGGUUGUAAACCGCUUUCAGGAGGGACGAAGCUACCUGGGUUAAUAGCCCGUGGGGUGACGGUACCUCCAGAAGAAGCCCCGGCUAACUACGUGCCAGCAGCCGCGGUAAUACGUAGGGGGCAAGCGUUGUCCGGAAUCAUUGGGCGUAAAGAGCGUGUAGGCGGCUUGGCAAGUCUGACGUGAAAUCCCGCGGCUCAACCGCGGUAGGUCGUUGGAAACUGCCUCGCUAGAGUCCGGAAGAGGAGAGCGGAAUUCCUGGUGUAGCGGUGGAAUGCGCAGAUAUCAGGAAGAACACCCGUGGCGAAGGCGGCUCUCUGGGACGGUACUGACGCUGAGACGCGAAAGCGUGGGGAGCGAACAG
rnacentral:rRNA from 1 species